UGGGGAAUCUUCCGCAAUGGGACGAAAGUCUGACGGAGCAACGCCGCGUGAGUGAAGAAGGUUUUCGGAUCGUAAAACUCUGUCUUUUGGGGCGAACGUGAGUAUGGUGAACAAUCAUAGUCAGUGACGGUACCAAAGGAGGAAGCCACGGCUAACUGCGUGCCAGCAGCCGCGGUAAUACGUAGGUGGCAAGCGUUGUCCGGAAUUAUUGGGCGUAAAGAGCGCGUAGGCGGGAUAGUCAGUCUGUUGUAAAAGUGCGGGGCUCAACCCCGUGAUCGCAAUGGAAACAGCUAUUCUUGAGUGCAGGAGAGGAAAGUGGAAUUCCCAGUGUAGCGGUGAAAUGCGUAGAUAUUGGGAGGAACACCAGUGGCGAAGGCGACUUUCUGGACUGUGUCUGACGCUGAGGCGCGAAAGCCAGGGGAGCGAACGGGAUUAGAUACCCCGGUAGUCCUGGCCGUAAACGAUGGGUACUAGGUGUGGGAGGUAUCGACCCCUUCCGUGCCGGAGUUAACGCAAUAAGGUACCCCGCCUGGGGAGUACGGUCGCAAGACUGAAACUCAAAUGAAUU
rnacentral:rRNA from 1 species